rnacentral:rRNA from 1 species
GACGAACGCUGGCGGCGUGCUUAACACAUGCAAGUCGAACGGAAAGGCCCUGCUUUUGUGGGGUGCUCGAGUGGCGAACGGGGGAGUAACACGUGAGUAACCUGCCCUUGACUUUGGGAUAACUUCAGGAAACUGGGGCUAAUACCGGAUAGGAGCUCCUGCUGCAUGGUGGGGGUUGGAAAGUUUCGGCGGUUGGGGAUGGACUCGCGGCUUAUCAGCUUGUUGGUGGGGUAGUGGCUUACCAAGGCUUUGACGGGUAGCCGGCCUGAGAGGGUGACCGGCCACAUUGGGACUGAGAUACGGCCCAGACUCCUACGGGAGGCAGCAGUGGGGAAUAUUGCACAAUGGGCGGAAGCCUGAUGCAGCAACGCCGCGUGCGGGAUGACGGCCAUCGGGUUGUAAACCGCUUUCGCCUGUGACGAAGCGUGAGUGACGGUAAUGGGUAAAGAAGCACCGGCUAACUACGUG